GUUUGAGAAGUCUUUCCUCUGCCCAUUUUAAGGAGAGCAAGAAAAGAAAGAUUUGAACUAAACUCCUGACUGCAGCAUUUCAGCAUGUGUAUGGGGGGAGAGGGGAUGGGUGUAUUUCUUUAUUUAUUUAGGACUUAUUUUUGUAAUAUUUUAUUUGGUUAAAAUACUUUGUUGAGUGUACUAGGUUUCAUUUUUUUACUGAGUCAUUCUACCACUUUAGAGAAUAUGACUGGAGUUGUGUGGUACUUUUUUUCCAUCUCUGCUCUAGCCCUCCCACCCCCCCAGAAAAAGCAGACUCCUCGUUUUGUUUUCCGCUGACUGCACUGAACUGGCAGAAUAGCCUUAAUUGACAAAAUGACAGGAUAGAAUAAAAUGUUGGAAGGGAAGAACUGACACAGGCAUUCUUGGACUUUUUCAACAGUUCAACCACAAUGACCUGUUCAAAUGAAUGCACUACUUCCAUGAGAGAAAGUAAAUUUUAUUUCUCUCAGAACUUGUAUGCGGAACAAAGUGGCCAAUAACUGCUUACUGCCAUGAGUCUUACUGACCGCUUUUUACAGUGGACUGAAGACUAAUCUGAAAUCCAUCCUACCUUCUCCAAGGUAAUCAGGAGCAGAGAAAGGCCAUCUGGACCUCCUGUAACAGCCACUGAGCUGGAGCUGGCAGUAACCUUGUCUGCAAUAGCUUCAGCGAUGGAUUUAAAAGAGGACCGGUUCUAGAGGUCUCCUUUAAAGAGUCCUAAGGGGGUGUCAAACAACCAGAUGAGAAUUGCAAGGCACCGGAGUUCACUCUGAAUUGACUAAAUGUCUACACAAAAACAACACCUUGAAGUCAAGUGCAGGGAGAGCAAAGGGAACCUUACUCUGAGUUGCCUGGUUACUGCUGAGAUGUGAUAACUGACUGUACAGGGCCCAAGUCUGCCAUCAGUACCAUUGCUGUGCAAAACCAUGUCAUCUUGCUUUCCCAGCCUGUGAAAUGAGGGUGCCUGGAAAUGGAGAGGAGAACAAAGAAAACAAGAAAAGCAGCAUGUUGUCAGAUUCUACUUUUCAAGUUAUCCAGAGAACAGUUGUUGCUGAGUAAGAACUGGAUGCAUCUGCUGCUCCUGCAUCAGGACUGCUGACAUGAACAUGUAGGAGGAAGAUCAAGCUGCAGCAAGGACGGACUUCAGGAGCUGGUUCAUUCUUCUUUCACACGGAUGGGAGUGUCACAGCGUGCUUUCCUGUCUAAUCAGUCUCAACACAACCUUGCACAACUCAACCUGCUUUAAGCUUUUAACCAGGGUGUAGGAGUUCAGAAAAAAAAAAACCACCUCCCUUCCCCCAAGAAAAAUUUAAUUGCAAAGAUUUGUUUUGAUGUAGCAUGUACAGUAAACUUGAAUCACCAAAAGUGAACCACACAUUUGUGCAAGUAUUUUUUCCUUCCCUAAUUUUCAUUCCUAGUUAGCUAUUCAUUUUA
ensembl:lncRNA